GCAAACCAACGAAGAACAACACCAGGACCCAAACCGCAAAGCUGAAUGAACAACAGGCAGCCCACGCCACUCCGAACCAUGUGUGGCUGGACCCCACUUGUGACCGCUGAGAAACCGCCAUUCAUGUUUAACGCAGAAGCCAAAUUGGAUACAAUGGAGCUUAGCAUGUAAAAUGCUGGGCAGACAAUUUCUUCAAAGGAUUCUCACAAAUGAAGAAGCAGCUACCAAGUCCAAGUACCCCAAAAAAAAGAA